GGCUUUGUAGACCUAAUGUACAGUCAAGGUGGUGUUUUGUUAGUAGACGUGAUGGCUCCAACGGCCUAGUAUUGUAUAUACAUAUAUAUGUGUGCCCGAGCUUAUACAGGUGAUUAUUUCCCUUUAUAUGCGACAUGAUGUUUUUUGAAUUUCGGGUUGUCAUAGAGGUAUGCAUGGGAAGUAUAAGGUUAUGAGCUGGUUCUCCC
rnacentral:lncRNA from 1 species